CAAUGAAUUGCCUAAAGUUCUUAAACAGUGCAGAUUCAGAACUGAAUAUUGCAAGUGAGGCAGUACAGCUAGAAAACAAGGGAUACAUAUUUGUCAAUUACAAUCAAUUGCCUAGAGUUCUUAAACUGUGCAGAUUCCGAACCUAAAUUUGCAAGUGAGGCAGUACAGCUAGAAAACAAGGGAUGACCAUCCUUAAAAGUGUGGGAGACUCGUAACAAUAUUUCCUUCGAAAAACAACUGCAGGAUAUGAACGAGAAGAAAGGGGGUAAA
rnacentral:lncRNA from 1 species